rnacentral:lncRNA from 1 species
CCACAGGCCACACGGAGAGACAGCUACCCUGAAAAGCAGCCCCCAGCAGCAUGGCCAGGCACAGGACGGGAACUCAGAAGUCUCCGAGCCGGGAAGCUGGAGAGGGCGCCCUGCCUCACCUGGAAAGCAGCGCAGUUCUGGGCCCCAGACCCUGACAGCCAUGCGAGGCCUGGGUCUGAGGAGAGAAAACCUGAAAAUAGAGAGACUGGCUUUUGAGGUGGUCGGGGCAGCAGAGGAGGAGAGAAGUGAUAUUGGGCUCCCAGGAUGUUUCCGGAAAAUCUGCAGGACAUGUGAUGGCUUCGAGCUCCAGAGAAGAGCACGGGGAAGUGAGGAGAAAGACGCCGCCUUUCAGGCAGACAGGCACAGAGGCCAGUCUGUCUUUUCUCAGGGAAAGGCCACUGGGGAAAUCGUUCGUGAGCAGGCAGCAGAUAAAACCUCAGAACAACAAGCAUGUGCUGGAAGGAGAAAAUUUGAGAAUCGCCCAAAGUUCAGAAAAAGCAGGAAGCAAAGACCCUGGUGGGACUGCAAGGACAGCCGGAGCGUGAGGGCACAGGGCUCUGUGAUCUUCUUCCAUCACCCUGGAGACAGACUUAAAAGUUGGGCUGAAGAAUCAACAGCACUUGGAAAAUGGAGGCACUGCGAGACCGUAAGGCUAAGGGAAACGACCAGAUGCAUGGCUUCCGCAGAACAUGGUUUCUCUCAUGAGAAGCCCGAAGUCUAAAGAGCAAAGUAGAAGACGGGUAAUAGGAAGUAGGAGGCAGAGCCUUCUCAGAGGGGAAGGGGACAAGAGACGGAGGGAAAGAAAAAGAG